rnacentral:rRNA from 1 species
UACGUAGGGUGCAAGCGUUAAUCGGAAUUACUGGGCGUAAAGCGUGCGCAGGCGGUUGUGCAAGACCGAUGUGAAAUCCCCGGGCUUAACCUGGGAAUGGCAUUGGUGACUGCACGGCUAGAGUGUGUCAGAGGGGGGUAGAAUUCCACGUGUAGCAGUGAAAUGCGUAGAGAUGUGGAGGAACACCGAUGGCGAAGGCAGCCCCCCUGGGUCAAGACUGACGCUCAUGCACGAAAGCGUGGGGAGCAAACAGG